AUUGAACGCUGGCGGCAUGCCUUACACAUGCAAGUCGAACGGCAGCACGGGUGCUUGCACCUGGUGGCGAGUGGCGAACGGGUGAGUAAUACAUCGGAACAUGUCCUGUAGUGGGGGAUAGCCCGGCGAAAGCCGGAUUAAUACCGCAUACGAUCUACGGAUGAAAGCGGGGGACCUUCGGGCCUCGCGCUAUAGGGUUGGCCGAUAGCUGAUUAGCUAGUUGGUGGGGUAAAGGCCUACCAAGGCGACGAUCAGUAGCUGGUCUGAGAGGACGACCAGCCGCACUGGGACUGAGACACGGCCCAGACUCCUACGGGAGGCAGCAGUGGGGAAUUUUGGACAAAGGGCGAAAGCCUGAUCCAGCAAUGCCGCGUGUGUGAAGAAGGCCUUCGGGUUGUAAAGCACUUUUGUCCGGAAAGAAAUCCUUGGCUCUAAUACAGUCGGGGGAUGACGGUACCGGAAGAAUAAGCACCGGCUAACUACGUG
rnacentral:rRNA from 1 species